rnacentral:lncRNA from 1 species
UAUCAAGGAGAGGUGGAAGAAAAAAGGACAUUCAAACUCAUAAGUCAUAAUUCGGUGGUUUCGAAGUAUCAAUUACAACAACAAGAACAUAUCCGUUGUCGUCUGCAUGCGAAACAGAUAUUUUUCAUAACUCGAGAUUGUGUCAACAAAAUUUGGUAGGAAUGAUUUCGACUUUACCUUUUUGAAUCCUUAGCUAAAUAUCUGUCUUGUUAGGACAUCAUUCUAUAUAGCGUGACCAUGUCAGUACACCAGCUGCUUCGUCAAUUAGUCUCUUUUUGGUUUUCUUUUACACAAUCAUACCACAACUCCAUACGAAUUCAUGAAUGCGCAAUGCUUAUUACUAGAACUCCGACGAACAAGUCAGAUUCAAAAUCCUGCAGAAGUGAAACUAUUACCCAUCGGUGUUAGAUCUCAAAUGGGAAUAAAGAUACAGCGAUUUAUAUUUUGAUUAUGUUGUUUUCGGAUUGACUUUUCAAUUUCAUCUGUUCCGAUGCAGACUAUUUCUUUUCCUGCCAGGAUAUCCGUUUUAAAAUUUCUCCUGCCCCUCCCAAGAAAAUCAAAUGGUUGUUCUCUUAUGAGUUUUUUCUUCAAAAGUUAUUAAUUUUAAACGUUUAUACAUAAAUUGCUUGACUUAUCUUGCUAUUGAUUAUUUGGAACAGAUUUUUAUUUCA